rnacentral:rRNA from 1 species
UGGCUCAGAACGAACGCUGGCGGCAUGCCUAACACAUGCAAGUCGAACGCACCGCAAGGUGAGUGGCGCACGGGUGAGUAACGCGUGGGAACCUGCCCUGGAGUGGGGGAUAACCCGGCGAAAGCCGGGCUAAUACCGCAUACGUCCUGAGGGAGAAAGAUUUAUCGCUCUAGGAGGGGCCCGCGUCGGAUUAGCUAGUUGGUGAGGUAACGGCUCACGCGAGGCGACGAUCCGUAGCUGGUCUGAGAGGAUGAUCAGCCACACUGGGACUGAGACACGGACCAGACUCCUACUGAUCGCACGCAGUGGG